CAGUCGCCGCGGUAACACCAGCACCUCGAGUGGUCAGGAGGUUUAUUGGGCCUAAAGCAUCCGUAGCCGGUUGCAUAAGUUUUCGGUUAAAUCUAUGCGCUUAACGUAUAGGCCGCCGAAAAUACUGUGCAGCUAGGGAGUGGGAGAGGUACACGGUACUCGAUAGGAAGGGGUAAAAUCCUUUGAUCUAUUGAUGACCACCUGUGGCGAAGGCGGUGUACCAGAACACGUUCGACGGUGAGGGAUGAAAGCUGGGGGAGCAAACCGGAUUAGAUACCCCUGAGUCCCUGUCUCUUAUACA
rnacentral:rRNA from 1 species